GGGGGGGGGGGGGGGGGGGGGGGGGGGGGGGGGGGGGGGGGGGGGGGGGGGGGGGGGGGGGGGGGGGGGGGGGGGGGGGGGGGGGGGGGGGCUGCUAUUCCAUCCCUGGGGUCACUCACACCCCGCUGUUCCAUCCCUGCAUCCCGGGGUCCCCUUCCCUCCAUCCCCUGCCCCCCUGGUGUCCCCCGCUGCUCCAUCCCCCCCUCCAGGCUGGUGUCCCCGUGCCACCGCGCUUGUCCCCCGCAGGGGGUGGCCCGGAGGGGCCGGGCAGCCCCGGUUCUCUCCCGGAUCCCGACGCCGAUCCCGAGGCGCUGCGGGCGGCGCUGCGGGAAUUCCUGCGGGAGCUGCAGGACGCGCAGCGGGAGCGGGAGGAGCUCCGGGGGCAGCUGGGCAGCCUGGGCCGGCGCCUGGCGGAGGCGGAGGCGGAGCGGGACAGCGCCGGUGCCCGGGCACAGCAGCUCCAGAAACUGCUGGACGAGAGCGAGCAAGGUGAGGCGGGUUCUGGGGAAUCUGUGGGCUUUGGGUGGUUCGGCGGCUGCCGGAGCCUCCACCGCGAGUGGGAGCUCGGAGGGAAACUGAGGCACGGGGAGGGGGGCGGUGCUGCCCAGAGCGGAGGAUGCUCCUCGGGAUUUCGUCCAAAAUCCUGGUGGGAAGCCUCGUAAACCCCAGUAAACCCCAGUAAAACUCUUCUGUACCCCCUUUAAACCUCAGUACAAGUGGUAAAAACUUCAAAAACUUCCAUAUAUCCUAAAGCAAAUAAAAUGAGUAAACCCCCUGUGCAUCCUCCACAAAUCCCAGUAAAACCCCUCUGCAUCCCCCAUAAAUCCCAGUAAAACUGGUAACACCCCCAUGGAUGCCCAUAAAUCUCACUGAAACUGGUAGACUCCCCUGUGAAUCCCGUGUAAAUACCAGUUAAACUGGUAAGCUCCACGAAACCCAGUAAAACUGGUAAAACCCCCUGUGCAAACUCCAUAAAUCCCAAUAAAAUAAAAUUAAAGACCCAAAACAUAUACUACUACUACUACUAAUAAUAAUACCCAUUAAAAAUUUCCCCACAAGCUGCAGUAAAACCUAUGAACUCCCCUACUGGUCUGAUGCAAAUCACAGUAAAACUGGUAAACUCCCUGUGCAGUCUCCAAAAAACCCUACAAAGGGGUAAAACCGCUGUGCAUCCCUCUUAAACCUCAGUAAACCCAGUAACCCCUCCCAGUCUGCCCCCCAUAAACUCCAGUAAAACCCCAAUAAAACUGGGAAAACCUCCCAGUAAAACUCCCCCAGUAAACCUCCCACAACCCCCAGGAAAACUGGGAAAUGCCCUGAGCAAACGCCAGAAAUCCCAAUAAAGUGGGUACAGCACCCCUGAAUCCCCCGGAAUUCCCAGUAAAACUGGGGACCUGCCGUGGAUCCCCCGGAAUUCCCAGUAAAACUGGGGAGCCCCUGGUGUAAACUCUGCAAGUCCCAAUAAAAUGGGUAAAACUCCUCUGCACCCCCAUAAAUCCCAGUAACCCCCCUCCCGUAAACCCCAGGGGGGGGGGGGGGGGGGGGGGGGGGGGGGGGGGGGGG
rnacentral:lncRNA from 12 species